UACGUAGGGCGCGAGCGUUUGUCCGGAAUUAUUGGGCGUAAAGAGCUCGUAGGUGGCUUGUUGCGUCUGCCGUGAAAGCCCGUGGCUUAACUACGGGUCUGCGGUGGAUACGGGCAGGCUAGAGGCUGGUAGGGGGCAAGCGGAAUUCCUGGUGUAGCGGGUGAAAUGCGCAGAUAUCAGGAGGAACACCGGUGGCGAAGGCGGCUUGCUGGGCCAGUUCUGACGCUGGAGGAGCGAAAGCGUGGGGAGCGAACAGG
rnacentral:rRNA from 1 species